rnacentral:rRNA from 1 species
UACGGAGGGUGCAAGCGUUAAUCGGAAUUACUGGGCGUAAAGCGCACGCAGGUGGCUAAGCAAGUCGAUUGUGAAAGCCCUGGGCUUAACCUGGGAAUUGCAGUCGAAACUGCUUGGCUAGAGUAUGGGAGAGGGCAGUGGAAUUCCCGGUGUAGCGGUGAAAUGCGUAGAUAUCGGGAGGAACAUCAGUGGCGAAGGCGGCUGCCUGGCCCAAUACUGACACUCAGGUGCGACAGCGUGGGGAGCAAACAGG